UUAGUUAUGUGAAUAUUUAAACAAAAUUUUAUUUUAAGGAAACUAUCAGUUUAAAUUCUUCUUAGUGUAUUUUUGAGUUUGUUGUUGGGUAAUGGCUAGAAAUGUUGAUGUAGAAGUUAAAAAACAAUAGCUAUAAAGCUGACUUGUUGUCUAGGUGAAUCUGGCAUUUUGGAUUUGCUGCACCGCAAGGUCCAUGCAUCAUUAACUGAGAGACAGAUUCGUAGCCAAUUGGGUCAGCCUGUUGAUCAGGUAUCUCUGCACAUAUAAGGCCAUCUAUGUCGUUUGGAGUCAUUAAUUUAUCCUCUAGUGCCAGCCAUAGGACGAUAUGUGCGUGCGGCAACCCACGCUUCUUGUGACAUCCCUCAAAUCCGGGGGUCUGGAUUUGGUGCCACCAUCAUAAAAAUCUUUUAAAAACCUGUAUUUGCGGAAAAUGUGAAACAUAUAUCUAAAAAUCUGUACAUUCUAAAAGAGAUUUAAAUCAAAAUCACUUUGACCCCCUAAAAACAGGAUCGCUAAUAGGUUACAGCACUGAAAUCAGAAACCAAAACUAUAAAAUGUUAUUACAACUUAAACUACGUUAUCAGCUAAACUUCGGUAAGAAGGAUAACUGAUGACCAAUAAAUAAAAACUAUCUACAACUGAAUUGAAAUAAUUCAACUCUGACCAUAACUAGUCUCGCAGCCACCUCCCUGGCAGUCUCGCCUAGCAUUACUCUUACGCGCAUCUUGCCCAGGUUACCAUCUUAAUCCUUAGCUGAAAGGGUUAGAAAUAAUAGCAAGAGUGAGCAAUAAUGCUCAGCAAGUAUAACAUUAAAUUUUUAACAAUGCAAUACUAUAUGAAUUAAAUCAAAUAUUUGUAACAGAGAUUCAGUUCUAGGUUCCCCUCAAAUUAAUUGAAGUUCAAUUACAUACUGCCGCCCUUUUUAUAAAAAUUUCGAUUACAAUGGGUCCAAACUAUUCUUUUAUCAGAAUAUAGUCCAUUUAUAUGAAUAUAUAAUUAUUAACUUCCUUUCAACUCAUCUGACAAUACGGGUGAUCAGCCAUGGAAAGUCCUCCAUCUCGGGCACUAGAUGUACGUCCCACCGACGACGGAUCGUUCCGGGCACUGGAUCCAAGUCCCACCGGUAACGACACUACGGUACCCACUAGGCAUCUAAUUGGUCUCAACAGCUGGACUAGGUUCACUAGCCUUUUAUGCUAACUUUUACAGUUCCCAAGACAAUAGAAUCCAUAUCCCGGGCCCCGGACAUAACAUCCUCCCGGUGACAAUUAUUGGUGCCCCGGGCCCCGGACAUAAAGUCCUCCCGGUGGCAAUUAUUGGUGCCCCAGGCCCCGGACUUAUAGUCCUUCCGGUGACAAUAAUUUGUGUACACAAUAGGCAUCUUGCUCGCCUUUCUGAUUGGCUAUUCACUAGCCCACAGCUAUUCACUAGCCCCGGCUAUUCACUAGCCCUUCACCAUAUGUAUUUAUUUAUUUCACAACCAUAUAUAUUUAUUCUAAAACUCUUCUUUUCUUAUUUCAGAUCACCACCAUGUAACUCAAUGUAACCAAGUAGCUAUCUCAGCUAUCAAGAACAUAAUAUAUUUCUAGCAAUGUUGUCAACUGCAGAUAUAACAAUAGAGAUAUUUAACUUAUCUUUAAUCAAACGAGAAAGAUAACAAUGCUUGCCCUUUCAAUAUAAAUGCAGAAUAGAAUUACUUGCAGUAAUUACAAGUUGAGAAUAGAAAUACUUGCUAACUGCAAGAGAAAGAUAGAUAGAAGUACUUGCCUUAACUCCGGUGUCUAGCUCAGACUUCUAAUGACACUAUAUACCACCAUAUCAUUCCCUUCUGCCAACUUCUGAUAAGAUUUGAUUUAAAACUAAGUUUCGCCUUAAUUCAACUUGCACCACUUGGCUAUUUCUGAAUACCCAUUUCAAUCACGUCUCGAUCAAUGCCUCGUCAACGUCUCGUUCAAUUCUAUACGAUAGUAAAAUAGUAUUUCAGUCGUCGGAUCAGACGGAUUAACUAAUUCCGAAAGCGUUAGGACCUAUAUAUAGCUACCCUUCGCUUAUACUUACCACAUAGUCAGAUAAACACAUAGCACAUAAUUGCAAAAAUAACCCUUUUUAUAGCUACUAAAAUACAUAUAAUUUCUAACGAAAANUGAAUUAAAUCAAAUAUUUGUAACAGAGAUUCAGUUCUAGGUUCCCCUCAAAUUAAUUGAAGUUCAAUUACAUACUGCCGCCCUUUUUAUAAAAAUUUCGAUUACAAUGGGUCCAAACUAUUCUUUUAUCAGAAUAUAGUCCAUUUAUAUGAAUAUAUAAUUAUUAACUUCCUUUCAACUCAUCUGACAAUACGGGUGAUCAGCCAUGGAAAGUCCUCCAUCUCGGGCACUAGAUGUACGUCCCACCGACGACGGAUCGUUCCGGGCACUGGAUCCAAGUCCCACCGGUAACGACACUACGGUACCCACUAGGCAUCUAAUUGGUCUCAACAGCUGGACUAGGUUCACUAGCCUUUUAUGCUAACUUUUACAGUUCCCAAGACAAUAGAAUCCAUAUCCCGGGCCCCGGACAUAACAUCCUCCCGGUGACAAUUAUUGGUGCCCCGGGCCCCGGACAUAAAGUCCUCCCGGUGGCAAUUAUUGGUGCCCCAGGCCCCGGACUUAUAGUCCUUCCGGUGACAAUAAUUUGUGUACACAAUAGGCAUCUUGCUCGCCUUUCUGAUUGGCUAUUCACUAGCCCACAGCUAUUCACUAGCCCCGGCUAUUCACUAGCCCUUCACCAUAUGUAUUUAUUUAUUUCACAACCAUAUAUAUUUAUUCUAAAACUCUUCUUUUCUUAUUUCAGAUCACCACCAUGUAACUCAAUGUAACCAAGUAGCUAUCUCAGCUAUCAAGAACAUAAUAUAUUUCUAGCAAUGUUGUCAACUGCAGAUAUAACAAUAGAGAUAUUUAACUUAUCUUUAAUCAAACGAGAAAGAUAACAAUGCUUGCCCUUUCAAUAUAAAUGCAGAAUAGAAUUACUUGCAGUAAUUACAAGUUGAGAAUAGAAAUACUUGCUAACUGCAAGAGAAAGAUAGAUAGAAGUACUUGCCUUAACUCCGGUGUCUAGCUCAGACUUCUAAUGACACUAUAUACCACCAUAUCAUUCCCUUCUGCCAACUUCUGAUAAGAUUUGAUUUAAAACUAAGUUUCGCCUUAAUUCAACUUGCACCACUUGGCUAUUUCUGAAUACCCAUUUCAAUCACGUCUCGAUCAAUGCCUCGUCAACGUCUCGUUCAAUUCUAUACGAUAGUAAAAUAGUAUUUCAGUCGUCGGAUCAGACGGAUUAACUAAUUCCGAAAGCGUUAGGACCUAUAUAUAGCUACCCUUCGCUUAUACUUACCACAUAGUCAGAUAAACACAUAGCACAUAAUUGCAAAAAUAACCCUUUUUAUAGCUACUAAAAUACAUAUAAUUUCUAACGAAAAUUCGGCAGCAUCUCCUCUGUUUAUAGUCUUAUCCACCUGUUUGCAGUACCAACAACCAGCCAAUACUAUUGCUUACACAUGAAUUAUUACUAUAAAAAUCUGCCUUGACAAGCAUUAUUUCUGAAUACCCAUUUCAAUCACGUCUCGAUCAAUGCCUCGUCAACGUCUCGUUCAAUUCUAUACGAUAGUAAAAUAGUAUUUCAGUCGUCGGAUCAGACGGAUUAACUAAUUCCGAAAGCGUUAGGACCUAUAUAUAGCUACCCUUCGCUUAUACUUACCACAUAGUCAGAUAAACACAUAGCACAUAAUUGCAAAAAUAACCCUUUUUAUAGCUACUAAAAUACAUAUAAUUUCUAACGAAAAUUCGGCAGCAUCUCCUCUGUUUAUAGUCUUAUCCACCUGUUUGCAGUACCAACAACCAGCCAAUACUAUUGCUUACACAUGAAUUAUUACUAUAAAAAUCUGCCUUGACAAGCAUUAAACACAUAAGAAAAUCUGCCUUGACUUGCAUUAAGCAUAUAAUGAAAUCUUUUAGCAGGAUUGCUAAUUUUUUAUACACAAAACACGUUUAAUUAGAUAUACAAGGUUAACCGAGCCAAUCCCUUUCAUAAUCAAUCAUAUGCUAUUAACCAAGUAUAACCUCAUACUAUGCACUAACAAAGAAAGAAGACUAGAACAAAUAGUUCAAACAGCCCUCACUCUAAGAUUUUUAAUAAAUUGAGAAUUUAUCAUUUUAAUACGAAAUUUUUAUGAGACACUCCUAAACAUUAUUCCAAUCUACUAUAAAAAUUUCAGAACCAAAUUCCAUGUUUAAGGGAGUAAACCAGGGCCUGCAAGUCAGGAACCUGAAUUUGUCCUGCAGAACCAGCCCCACGCUAUGAAUUUUAAUAAAUAGAAAAUUUGGUCUGUUUGUAUAAAAUUUUAAUGACAUAUUCCAGAUACUAACAUCUAACUCCGGUAAAAAUUUCAGAAGAAAAUCUCAAGUUUAAAGUAGCAAAACAGGGCCUAGAAUAGGACACACCUGCCCAGAAUUUUCUGCUCAACUCACACUAAAACAUACAUAUCCUUUAGCUUGUUUAACGAAACUUUGAAAUUCUUUUUCGUACUUGAUCUACACUUCAAGGAGCAUAUAAUCACAGAGAGAUUAGGCAUAGUUCUAACUUAACAGUUUCAAAACAGAUAUGCAAAACAGGGCAUAACCGCUGCGGAAACUUGACAACAAUUGACUUAGUUCUAAUACCACAACUCUAAUUACUCAAAACCCAUAUUCACAAAUCAAACAUCAAUAACCAGAAAUCAUAAACUCAAAAUCAUAGCAACUAAUUCCUAUACUUCAUUUAUAUAUCAAAUUAACAUCCACAUCAAGUUAAUCUCUCAACCAGUAAUAUGAUCAUAUACACAUAUAUAACUAAUUUAUCAAAGAAAGGUGUAUACCCACUGAUAACAACAAAAGUACACAUAUAUAUAUAAUCUGAUUCUAACAAAAAAAAUUAAUAAUACCCACUAAUUCGGAAUAAGAGAUGCAAGGGGUGAAGUGCUCGCCGGAAUCACACCCAUCGCCAAUACACCACCACUUGCUGCCAACCACAACUCCCCCGCCCCGUGUUACUUCAUCUCGCUCUUCUAUCACAACGUCGUCUCAACCCCAGUCUCCGCCAUAAUCGAACCUCCGGCGACUGCUACCAACACCUCCACCAUCAGCAGCCAGCACAAGCCCACAAACAACACGACAAUCACCCUAUAUAGAUACACGUAUAUACAUAUAUAGUCAAGCACACAUGAAUUUGAAUGUGAAAAGAUUGAACUCAAUUCUUUUGCCCUCUGAUUGAAUCCUCUGUAUAAAAACAUAACCCUAAAACUUAUGUGUCCUUACCCCAAUUCUCUCUCGCCGACUCAACACAAAUUUUCUUUUCUUUUUGUUUUCUAUUUUUAUUAUACUAAAAAUCAAACCCCCAAUUCUAAUUGAAAAGCUAUUUUCAUAAUUUUGGGCCUCAAAAUAUUCCCAAAAUUUAAAAAUAACUAAAAUUCAAAUUUAAC
rnacentral:lncRNA from 1 species